rnacentral:rRNA from 1 species
UACAGAGGUCCCGAGCGUUGUUCGGAUUCACUGGGCGUAAAGGGUGCGUAGGUGGCUUGAAAAGUUUGAUGUGAAAGCUCAGGGCUUAACCCUGAAAUGGCAUUGAAUACUGUCGGGCUGGAGGUUUGGAGGGGGGACUGGAAUUCUUGGUGUAGCAGUGAAAUGCGUAGAUAUCAAGAGGAACACCAGUGGCGAAGGCGGAUCUCUGGACAGCUCCUGACGCUGAGGCGCGAAGGCUAGGGGAGCAAACGGG